rnacentral:ncRNA from 1 species
CGGCGGCGGGUCUGUGGUUGAAAGUCGACGCCAGCCGCGGGCGAAACGACCCACGUAAACCGAAAAUUUCGGCGAGCAUGGCGCGGUUUAGCAGUCAGCCCGGCCGGGAAACCGAGAGGCACAGUAGUGGGGAGGCUUUAGCCUUAUGAGCGAGAUGCCCAGCCGGCGGAUGUGGGGGCAAAGACCAGGUCAGCCGCCGCCG